AUACUUUAGGAGCACAUAUACUAAAAUUGGAAUGAUAUGGAGAAGGUUCGCAUGGGCCCUGCACAAGGAUGACAUGCAAAUUCGUGAAGCAUUCCAUAGUUUU